rnacentral:misc_RNA from 1 species
UUCGGUAUCCUGUGUUGCUUACCUAUCGAAAGGAAUCCGACGGUUUCGUUGGUCCCUUUCCGCCCCAUGCCCUCGCGGGUGGUGGGGUGGACGUAAGGCAAGCCUCGUGUUCCCGGCACGCCUCGCCCAGUUGCGCGGCUGCCCAGGCCCACGGGGCGCAUUGCCCGUGCUCUCGGAUGCGGAACGUUACGCGCGGGCGUGGGGUCUUUUGGCUCCGUCGGCCCGAGCAACGCAUUUGUCCCUCGACACGAACGACCGUCGAACCCGUCUUGAGCGCGCGGCCGUACGGCCAGUCGGGUCUCAUGCGGGCGUCGGCGUCGCGAAGGAAUGCUACCUGGUUGAUCCUGCCAGUAGUCAUAUGCUUGUCUC